AGUAAGGAAUAUUGGACAAUGGCCGCAAGGCUGAUCCAGCCAUGCCGCGUGCAGGAAGACGGCCCUAUGGGUUGUAAACUGCUUUUGAACGGGAGAAAACCCCCCGAUGAGUCGGGGGCUGAUAGUACCGUUAGAAUAAGCAUCGGCUAACUUCGUGCCAGCAGCCGCGGUAAGACGAAGGAUGCAAGCGUUAUCCGGAUUCAUUGGGUUUAAAGGGAGCGUAGGCGGACCGAUAAGUCAGUGGUGAAAUCUCCUCGCUUAACGAGGAAACUGCCAUUGAUACUGUCGGUCUAGAGUACAGUUGCCGUUGGCGGAAUAUGACAUGUAGUGGUGAAAUACAUAGAUAUGUCAUAGAACACCGAUUGCGAAGGCAGCUAACGAAGCUGUAACUGACGCUGAGGCUCGAAAGUGCGGGGAUCAAA
rnacentral:rRNA from 1 species